GUAACAGGAGAAAGCUUGCUUUCUUGCUGACGAGUGGCGGACGGGUGAGUAAUGCUUGGGAAUCUGGCUUAUGGAGGGGGAUAACGACGGGAAACUGUCGCUAAUACCGCGUAGUGUCGAGAGACGAAAGUGCGGGACUGAGAGGCCGCAUGCCAUAGGAUGAGCCCAAGUGGGAUUAGGUAGUUGGUGGGGUAAAGGCCUACCAAGCCUGCGAUCUCUAGCUGGUCUGAGAGGAUGACCAGCCACACUGGAACUGAGACACGGUCCAGACUCCUACGGGAGGCAGCAGUGGGGAAUAUUGCGCAAUGGGGGGAACCCUGACGCAGCCAUGCCGCGUGAAUGAAGAAGGCCUUCGGGUUGUAAAGUUCUUUCGGUAUUGAGGAAGGUUGAUGUGUUAAUAGCACAUCAAAUUGACGUUAAAUACAGAAGAAGCACCGGCUAACUCCGUGCCAGCAGCCGCGGUAAUACGGAGGGUGCGAGCGUUAAUCGGAAUAACUGGGCGUAAAGGGCACGCAGGCGGUUAUUUAAGUGAGGUGUGAAAGCCCCGGGCUUAACCUGGGAAUUGCAUUUCAGACUGGGUAACUAGAGUACUUUAGGGAGGGGUAGAAUUCCACGUGUAGCGGUGAAAUGCGUAGAGAUGUGGAGGAAUACCGAAGGCGAAGGCAGCCCCUUGGGAAUGUACUGACGCUCAUGUGCGAAGGCGUGGGGAGCAAACAGGAUUAGAUANCCUGGUAGUCCACGCUGUAAACGCUGUCGAUUUGGGGGUUGGGGUUUAACUCUGGCGCCCG
rnacentral:rRNA from 1 species